ACAAAAAAAAAAAAAAUCAUUCUGAGAGGCUUCACACCGGCACUAGCUACAAGAUAUAUAUAUAAAAUCUAAAGCUGACUAUGCGGUAUGGGCUUUGCUCAUUGUUGAAGGCCGCAUAGUAACCUUUAGUUGUUAAUUGCUGUAUCAUUUUGGUCUCUUGUGGAGAAUUGUCUCAUUUGUAACCAUACCAUAUCUUCUAUUUUAUAUAUAAGGAUCAAUCACUAAUUAAAUUGAAAUAGUGAAAUAAUAAUAAUAAUUUGCUUUUAGCAGCAAGUAUGGUUCAAUUUUGUCAAAUUAAGCUAAGAAACAUUGAUGAUGAAUUAUUGUCUUGCAAGUGAAUAAUUUGACCUCAUUGAAUCCGUAUUCAAGUGUACAUCAAUUUAACUGUGCAUGUCUGUUUUUUUAAAGGAAAAGAUUGUCAACAUUGAAAGUGAAACAAAGGUAAAUAAUUUGUUU
rnacentral:lncRNA from 1 species